rnacentral:lncRNA from 1 species
GUAGUGUCAAGCCAAGGUGGUGGAGGUCAAAAAGUUUCCCAGCCCUCACUCCAGUACUCUUGCCUGGAAAAUUCCAUGGACGGAGGAGACAGGUGGCUUCAGUCCGUGGGAUUGCACAGAGUCAGACAUGACUUCACUUUCACUUUCAGCCCCUCUAUGAGCCCAUAAGAUUCAAGCCCCCACCACUUCUUGAGAAAAGUGACCUCAUCUGUCUCAUUCAACUUGUUUCAUUAGUACCUGGAUCUACAAACACACACACAAAAAUCACUCAAUGCCUAUUUGUUGAAUGGAUGAACAGAUGGAUGAAAGGCAUCUUAGAGGUCAGCUAGUCCAACCUCUUCACUUUUAGAGAUUUUUCAUUACUAGAAAUAAACUGCAAAAAAUGAAACCAUCAUGGACAACCUAGUGCUUUUGUGAGAGUGGGUGUCUAUGGCACAUGCAGCUGAAACAAGGGAGCUACGCACUAACCUUUUCUGAGCACCACCACCACACUGCCUUGCAUAAUGAGCACUUAUUUUCACCUGCAGUCUACCACUCACCAGAAUCACUAACCUUCCAGGAGAGAAACCAAGAUCUCUGGCUCUCGGCUCCAGCUGAGCUCUUCAAAAAGCCAGCAUCAUCUUACUAGUCACACGAAGGUGCCAUCUUGGAAGAAAAUCCUCCAGCCCUCAGCUAAUCAUCAUUACCCACCAGAUACUCCCCAGAUAUCACUGCAUGGAGCAGAGACAAGCCUUCCCCUUGAGUCUUGCCCAAAUUAAAGAUUUAUGAGAAAGAGAGGGAGAUGCUAUUACUUUAAGCCACUGUUUUAACUAAACUACAUGACUUCAAUCAUAAAGGGUCUGACCUCUGAAUUCCUCAGCACCACUCAUCUGUCACUAAACUCUGCUAUCUUAAGUUUUCUUCCCCUUGUACUUAGAAAAUACAUUACCAGCUCAGUAAUUAGUUUCUUGGGGACAGGUAUCUCAUACUACAUUUGUGGAGUUUUCUUUAUCUUCUGGUACAGUAACUUUUGAGGCAGUGGAUAUUCUAUAAGUAUUUCUUGGUUAAUUAAAUCAGAGACUAUGUGUUCUGUAAGAUAAAAUAAUUUCUUACUGUGCCAGUUCUGCAAACAUGAGAUAUGGCGUAGAGCAGACAUAUUAAAGCCCACCCAGACUCUGGGUAAAUAAGCACACUGACAUUUAAGACACUAAAGUAUUUGCAUUACAGAAAAUGUGUAUAAUCACCAAUUCUUCAAACCUCUAACAUGCUUAUUUAAUGCUCCACUGAAAUUUGAUAUCCAAAUUUGGGAAUUUAUUGAAAAAGUCAAACCACAUCAGCAUCUCAUCACUCAAUAUAUUUUUUUGAUUAAAGGGUUACAACACAAAUGAAGCAAGUUCACA